UACAGAGGUCUCAAGCGUUGUUCGGAUUCAUUGGGCGUAAAGGGUGCGUAGGCGGCGCGGUAAGUCGGGUGUGAAAUCUUGGAGCUUAACUCCGAAAUUGCACCGGAUACUGCGUUGCUCGAGGACUGUAGAGGAGAUCGGAAUUCACGGUGUAGCAGUGAAAUGCGUAGAUAUCGUGAGGAAGACCAGUUGCGAAGGCGGAACUCUGGGCAGUUCCUGACACUGAGGCACGAAGGCCAGGGGAGCAAACGGG
rnacentral:rRNA from 1 species